rnacentral:lncRNA from 1 species
AAUCUUUGGAGUGCAUCAAAGUAUAAUGUCUCCACCCAGGGCCAGAGGUGCUCUAUCCUUUUGAACAAACUUUUAAGGAGUGGAAAAGCUGAAACCUAACUAGGGAAACGGGAAGCGGGACCCAGAGCUUCGGUGGCCUUGAAGAACUCGAUCCUGGGAUGUGCUGAGAUCUCCACUGGUGCCUACAAAGAAACACAAAUUCAUCAUAUCACAGUUGCAGCUGGCUUACAAAACCAGAGAUGCUGUUUCUCCAUCUUCUAAGGACCCCUAUGCUCAAGCCUCUUUUGAAGACCUCCCCUGUGUCCCAUCCUUCCGGGCUGUCCUCCUGAACUCUGUACUGAGUGUUGUUGGUCAACUGGAUUUCUGCUGUCCUCUCAGGAUGUGUGGAUAACUGAAGGGGAGCCCAGCUCAGGCUUGAGUUCAGAAAAUCUUUCCAGGACUCUAAUCACCUAGGAUUUCAUUUCAUCAAAGGCAUGUUCUCAUCUGUCAGCCCAUUGUCCAAGCCCACCCUUCCAGUUCCUGUAAGUUACCUUUGGGCAAAAUAAAGAUAACAUUUAUUAA